ACGAUCAGUAGCCGGCCUGAGAGGGCGACCGGCCACAUUGGGACUGAGACACGGCCCAAACUCCUACGGGAGGCAGCAGUGGGGAAUAUUGCACAAUGGGGGAAACCCUGAUGCAGCGACGCCGCGUGAGUGAAGAAGUAUUUCGGUAUGUAAAGCUCUAUCAGCAGGGAAGAAGAAAGACGGUACCUGACUAAGAAGCCCCGGCUAACUACGUGCCAGCAGCCGCGGUAAUACGUAGGGGGCAAGCGUUAUCCGGAUUUACUGGGUGUAAAGGGAGCGUAGACGGCUGUGCAAGUCUGAAGUGAAAGCCCAGGGCUCAACCCUGGGACUGCUUUGGAAACUGUGGAGCUAGAGUGCUGGAGAGGUAAGUGGAAUUCCUAGUGUAGCGGUGAAAUGCGUAGAUAUUAGGAGGAACACCAGUGGCGAAGGCGGCUUACUGGACAGUAACUGACGUUGAGGCUCGAAAGCGUGGGGAGCAAACAGGAUUAGAUACCCUGGUAGUCCACGCGGUAAACGAUGAAUACUAGGUGUUGGAGAGCAAAGCUUUUCG
rnacentral:rRNA from 1 species